GACGGAGGGUGCAAGCGUUGUUCGGAUUGACUGGGCGUAAAGGGCGUGUAGGCGGUUGGCCAAGUCUGAUGUGAAAGCCCGGAGCUCACCUCCGGAAGUGCGUCGGAAACUAGCCAGCUGGAGCGCGGUAGAGGAGGGUGGAAUUCCUGGUGUAGCGGUGAAAUGCGUAGAUAUCAGGAGGAACACCGAUGGCGAAGGCAAUCCCCUGGGCCUGCACUGACGCCCAUGCACGAAAGCGUGGGGAGCAAACAGG
rnacentral:rRNA from 1 species